UACGGAGGGUGCAAGCGUUAUCCGGAUUUACUGGGCGUAAAGGGUGCGCAGGCGGCCCUGCGCGUCGCGAGUGAAAUCUCCCGGCUCAACUGGGAGGGUGGUCGCGAGACGGCAGGGCUUGAGGCUCGGUGAGGGGCGUGGAAUUCCGGGUGGAGCGGUGAAAUGCGUAGAGAUCCGGAGGAACACCAACGGCGUAGGCAGCGCCCUAGACGAGGCCUGACGCUCAGGCACGAAAGCGCGGGGAGCGAACAGG
rnacentral:rRNA from 1 species